CUGGCCUUGGACACUUCCAGGGAUCCAAGGGCAGCCACAGCUUCUCUGUGCCAGGGCCUCACCCUCACAUGAACAAUUCCUUCCUAAUGAUUAAACCUCUUCUCUUUUUCUUUCAAUCUAUUCCUUUGGUAUCAUAACAUGGAGCUCCUAAAGAGCCUCUUCCAAAACAAAGGACUUGCCUUUUAAUAACCCCCCCUCCUCCCUCUUCAUUUACAGGCCUGUAACACUGGAAACGAUAAGAAAGCAAGUUAUGAAACAGUGCCAGAACUACAGGGGCAAUUAAUAAUUUAUAUCACUGGAAAUGUGUUUCCUAAGGUUGGGAUCUAAAAAUAAUUCAAGGAAGGCAACGCGUCUCUUUCAACGCGACUGAAUUUCUGCUGCCCGGCCCUGCUGAAAGCAAGGCUCUCAGUGAUCGCUCACCAGAAACGCCCACACGAAAUGAUAAGGGAGGGAAAAAAAUAAUAAUCCUCCUAAAACGCAACUUUAUUAAUGCGAUUUAACUUUUUUCAAAGAGCCGAGAGUUCAGCCCCACUGUUACAAUACUUUGGUCACGAAGUAAAAGAAGUUUUUUCCCGUUCCUAAAUGCAACACUGCUCUUUGCAGGGAGUGUUCCUGCCAGAGAAUGAUCCCUGGAUUGCAGACACGGAGAAGCUCCAUGAACUUCUGAUGCAGCAAAUGCUUUCGUGGGAGACUGCAUGUCUGAAAAUAAUCUGAAAAUGUGUUUUAGAAAAAAUAAUAAUUACAUUGUAGCUUUUGAAUAUUCAAACACCUCACAGCAUACUUAAUUAAUUCAUUAAUUAUUCCCCAGAAAUUUCAGGGGUAAAUUGAAAUAGCCUAGAGAGACUGAGACAAAGAUUUCAUGGAAUAAAUGAUAGCUUUGCUCCCGUUCCCCUAUGACUCUGGUAGCCCAGGGACAGAAGAGUUAUAGCCGUAAUUCCAUUUGAAACAAAGCUCAUCAUCUCUCCAACUCCUCACUUCAUAAAAACCAUGAAAAGGUUCUACCUUCAAUCAAGAAUUAUACAUAUUUUCUUACUCUCCCAUCCCACAGGGCUGGGAUCUGUGACUUCCUUUUAUUUUUUUCCACUUUUUAACAGCAUUCUCCUCACCCUCCGGCUGUCAGAGCGUUCUGUGCAGGCUGAACCGGGGAAUUCAAAGUGCCCACAAGAGGGUGAGGGACUCUCAUUUUCCUUACCAGAAAAGGGGAAAAAAAAAAAAAAAAAAGCCGAAUCCCAAAUUCUGCCAAGCUCUGGAAGCAGCAAAGCCAGACUGAUGGGACCCCCCUGCGUGGGGACGGGGGAGUGGCAGCAGACCGGCGCCUUUCCUCCCCAUUAAUCACGGCACGAGUUCCCCAAAGCUUGCAGGGUUAAAUGAAACAGCACGGGAUGGUGUGCAGGCAAUGUGACCGCAAUCAUACAGAUCCCUCCCAGAGUGUGGUCCUUACGUCUUGUGGGCUAUUAUUUAAAAACAUCCUUUAUUUAUCUCCCAGCUCGGGAAUGGUUACUGCCAGAAAGAUGCCCCAGAUUGAGACGCAUCACUAUCCUAGAGUAAAAAAAAAAAUCACGUAAGGCAGAGUAAAUGAUCGACUCCUUCACGAACUGCACUGCAGUUCCCUCUAUUUUCAAAGGAGUAACCAAAGUAAAUCCUCAGAAAAGUUUUAAAUAUUAAACGUGGGGUUUGCAUAAUAGGUAGGGCACCAUUUGAUGGCGCUUUGUCAGCUGAAAAAGAACCUAAUGAGUUACAAGAGAAGCCACUGCAAUUGAAAAGGCUCCAAUUUGAUUGUUAAUGUUCUAGUAAUGGCCCAGGACAAUGGAAUUUCUACUCACACUUCGAACUCAGUGCAAAGGACAGUUACAGAAAAAACAUUCCUACUUCAAAUUUCACUUCUGCUACUUUGAGAUUAUAAAAGAAAAAAGAGCCUUCUACUAUGUUUGAAAGCAUUUCUGCUACAUUCAUCCCUUCUUUCUCCUAAAAGCUUCUGAACAGACUUAGCAAUAAACCCUCCGAAAGCUGGGGUUUAUUCUAAUUCCAGUUCACAUUCCUGCAACCGAGAAAGGGAAAGUCCAAUAUUCCCCCUCCCUAGCAUGCUCUGCCUUUUGCUCCAGUCACGGGCCUUGGGGCUGCUCUAGAUCUGUCCCUGCAGCAACACCUUCCGAAGGGCUGCGGUGACACCCUGCAGGUGAACACAGCCCCUUCCCGCAGGGAUAUCUGCUGGGAUAUCUCCUUCUACCGAACAUUCUUCCUGCUCCUGUUCCCUGCAUCCUUCCCCUUAUCUGCACCUCCCCUCUUCCUUCCGUGCCUCCAGCCUACCAAGUAAAAUAGGGCUUGACAACCGCACAAUAAAUUUUUUAAAGUGAAUGCUUUAGGGAUAUUUCUUCCCCUGAAUAUUUAUUCCGGCUUUUACAAAGGAAUUUAUCCAAUUAUUAAUUCAACGAGAAAAAAUAGAGAAAAAAGCAUGUGAUCAGACAAGCCCAACUUCAAGCCACGUUUUCAGGUAACAGAAAUAUUUUCAGUUAUUUUGACACGGGUUUCAAAACAGAAGGAUAAAGUGAAUGAGUUCUGAAGAUGGGAACUGGCCAGGACUUUGUGCUCCAUCGGAAAAUAGCUGUGUAACACUAACAGUGCUGCCCUACCCUGCACACAUCCCAAACUGCACGCUGUGCUGUGGCUCGGAAUUCCAGCCCCACGGGGAAGGAGGCUGAAGCGAUUCUCAGCUACUUGUACAUUCCUCAGCACUGGACUGCCAAGGCUGGAGCAGCAUCCCGAGCGAUUUGGGAUAUUCUGGAAAAUGAAACGGCGGCGGCUCUGCCCCUCUGAGAGCUCUGCUCAAAUCUCCCCUCUGCAGUCGGGACUGUAAGCUGUCCCUCUCACUCUCAGGCACCCCUUGCAGAUUUGCAGAACAGUUUGGGGAGAAUCACUAAAUUUCUACAGUCCAUAAUUUUUUACGGUACAGACUUGGCUCCCAGAUUUUCCUGUUUGUGCAACUCCUUCUUUUUACCUGUUCUAAACACACAGGUGAAAACAUCAAGGAUUUUGGCUUCAGAUGGGAUCCACUCACAGCUAAAUCACUGCCUGCAGCCACAGGGGUUUAUGGCUUUCACUCUUUCAAGUAUUAAUGAUGCUCAAUUUUCUGCUUAAUUUUAUCAGAUUUUCAAGUGUGUUUAGAAAGACACCCGACUGCUGCGUUUGAGGGGUGUCUGUGCCACUUCUGUGUCCGUGAGCAAGUUCAUUUUGCUUCCUUUCCCCCUGAGAGUACUCACUGUAAUAUUGUUUUCCUUUCCCUCUAAGGUUGAGAAAAGGCACGUUAUGAAUAUGCAUUUCCCUCGUACAGUCUGGGGCAGCAAAACCAUAAACUUGUUCGUUUUAUGGGUCUGUCCUUUGUUUUAUUCUCACGUAUUUUAUUGGGAAAGGGGUGACAGUUUUGACAUGUAUUAUUAACAAAUGAGGAACUGCCUAAAAUUUUUCACACUGCAAUGAUACCAAACAUUUCUCAAAAAUGGUCUGUGCUGUUCAGCCUUGAUGUACCACAAACUCAGGGUUUACUAUGACCUGAUCGUGCUCUUCAGACAGUUUUGCCAACCAAUUAACCAUUAUCUCAGAUAAGAAUACUCCAAGUAUUAACUUUUUCAAACUUUUUUCGUAUUCUGCCUUGGGAUGUGCUUAAACAGUCCCUCAGAGUGAACCUCUUUUCCCUCACCUCUUUUCAUUAUCCCCUAAAUUUACAUUCACCCAGCUCUCCCUACAGGCAGAAAAGGCUGGGGGUACCCAGGUUGAAAUUUUAGCACAUCAUGAGUCAUCUGGGUCUGUAAAAGUCUUUAUUAUACAGACUUUCUUACCAUUAACCUUGCUGCUUCACAUUACACUUUCCCAAAAAAUCCAAACAUGUCACAGGAUGUACAUAAACACAACAACUUCAUACACAUUUAUCACCUUCAACAUAAGCAGCAGAUAAUUUUUCUGGGGGAAAAAAAUCCCCAAAGAAAUCCAAAAUCAAACCUGUUUUUCUCUUGCAUCACCUUUAACCUCAGGACAUUGAUCAAAUACACUUUAAAUGAUAUUUUCUCACAGCCCAAACAGCAGUGCAAGUCUGGAGAGGGUCGUGAGUUGUAAAUAAUCAGAAGGCAAAGGCUGAUAAAUGGCUGAUUAUUUGCAAGCACUGCAAAUAAUUUUCAUUGCUGCCUUUAGAAGUAAUUCCCUCGCACUUAUUUAGAGCUUUACAGAUCAUUUAUUCCAAAAGAACUUUGUGUUUUCUCAGGUAAAGCAUUCCUUGGAAAAAGAACGCCUUAUGCGGGGCAGUUGGAAUUUGCAAGGCUGAACUGGGGCUGUGUGUGGACUAAAAUAAAAUACAAGAUGUAGUGAGAGGUGUGUGGAGAACUCCUUUGGAAGGAGCCUGCUCCUCCUUCAAACCCCUUUGUGAGACACAGCCCCUACGGCUGGGUGUGCAAUUUACGAUGGCAAGGAGCAAGGGAAAGAUAAAAUUUCCACUUCAGCCAUCUUUCACUGUUAUUGCUUUUGAUUGUUUUGACAGGGCACAUUAAAAAAAAAAAUCUUAUUUUUACCUUCUCUGUUUUUUGUUAUACUUCCCUUCGAUAGCAGGUCCUCUGAGCUAAACCCCACAGCACACACAUUAUAUGGCACCCAAGUGAUCACAGCACAGACCCAGGAAGAGUCUCCAAGAAAACCACACACACAUCCCCUUUUACACCCUGAGAGUCGUUUCGUUUCCUGACCAAUUUUCUCAUUCCCAUUAAGGAGAAACGAAACCCAUUUCUGGCUCAGCCCUGGAAGGCAGCACAGCCCCUCCAAAGCAAGAGCAAACAGUUUGCAUUAACCUUCCCUCACUCUCAAAUGUCCAUACGCUGAAAAAACUCUGUGUUUUCCUGUUCUCCAGACUGAACCCAACUGGGUUUAAUUGUGCCACAUCCAGAGAGCAGAUUUGUGUUUAAAGGCAGAAUUGUUUCCUUGCCUACACAGGAGCAAUACUGAGACAAAAUACUGAGAAAAUCCAGCGUGGCACUGGGCUGUAACUGCAGUGAUCCUUUGCAGAAAGAACACUCUGUUUAACCACUUUAUCCAGACACUGACACCUGGCAUUCACUUGGUCUCCAUGUUUGAACUUUUACUUGAAAAUUACACCAAAGUUUUGUUUUAAGAAAAUAAAGUAGUGACAACACUUCCUUUUUGAAAUAAAAAUAUUUAGUCUUUUUAAUGCUUACUAUUUUUCCUUUAAAGAUUUAGGAGGGAAAAAAAAAAGACUUUUGAAUAUACUGUUUCUGCAAGGCAACACCGCUCCUCUAAACACACAACAAGGCUCCAAUUUCACUCUAAGUGCUUGCAAGAUUAAGACCCUAAAAGCCAAGAGUGUUAACAUAAUACACUUAUUUUAUAAAACUGGAGACAAAGGAAUCUUGAACAGAUGGAAGAAGGCUUCCUCAAAACACAGACCCAACCUCCCUUUACUUCAAAAUAAAUAUAUUCACAUUAUUUUUAAAGGUAAGUUGUGACAACCUUGUUGAUUAGUGCAAUUCAUGUGGCAGGAUUCGCUUUUCCCUUGCUCUGUACUGCAUACUGAAAAUAAGGCAAUUAAAUGAGAAAAUUAAUUCCAUUAAUUAAAAAUGUUCAGUCUCGAGCAAGACAGAAUGAUCUGAGCUGUAUAAAUGUACAUAAACCAAAAUGUUUUCCUUGACAUGUGCUUUCCUUUAAGAAGGAUAAAUUUUGCAGCACCAAGCAAUGAUAAUGCUAUUUUAACAGCGUCAUAAAGCUGGAGAGAGAUAUAUAAAAGGUCUAUUUUAUCUUUUAAAGAGAAAGCCCCUGAUGUACAUAGGAAAAUUUACAAGUAAAAUACCACCCUUCCCACAAAUUCCUUACUGGUGAGCCUGAGUGAAAACUCUGGUCAGGUCAGGAAAGAAAAUGAUUAAACUUUGCUGAAUCCAUAAAGCACUGUAGCUGGAGUUUCAAUACAGAUCAUUUUAUAGUAAAAUUAAAAUAGAAGCCCUUUUUAAUUAUAUAAAGUGUGCACAUUAUUACUGAGGAGAGAAAUACACGCUUUCCUCAAGAACCAUAAAAUUGGCUGCUGGGAAUUAGACUUCAGCUGCAAUUAUUAUAUGGUCCUAUAAAGGAUAUUGAAAGUCUGAUAAAAUUGCACCCUUGUCAUGUAACAGCGAUGCUUAAUGCUAAAUAACCACUCUGCAGCAUUCCAGGCAUAGCUUCCCCCAAACAUCAUCCUCCCUUCUCACACCAAAAAGAAAACACAGCAGCAUUGGGGAGCUAAAAGUGUACCUAAAUAUUUGAAAUACCAAAGGAACAGGUCAAAAGAUAUGUAAAGCCACACGGAGGCAAAGCAGCACAUGUGAUAAAUGAAUACUGAUGGCUGUUUAUAAAGGAGAGCUCUCCAUGGAUACCCACCCAACCCUCCAUGGACACUGCCCAGCCCUCCAUGGAUACUGCCACACGUAGCAGACUACACAGGAUGAGAAGGGAAAAAAAAAGAGCAACACAAUGAAGCAGAGUGACAAAGAGCAGUGCCAUACAUUCCUGAUGGCUGCUUUCCUUCUCCUUGCAGCAUGUGUUGUAAACUGUGAGUAUUUGUUACGCCUGCACGCAGCUACAGGAGACUGACUGGCCUUCUCCUGGAGAACCUGGAAUUUACUUUUACCUCAGACCUCCAGGAGGGGGAUUUGCAGCACUGGGAAGCGUGUGACCAAGCCAGCACUCGGGAAGUGCUGGGUACCCGGGAGAGGAAGAGGAGGGCAGAUAAAGCAGGAGGGUGCUACGGGGUCAGCCCUGGUGCCACUUGUGUUUGCUUUGUCCUGGAACGCCUCUGUGAGGAGAAGGUUUGGGGGCAGAGGGGGCAAUCCUACAAGGUGGACGAUGAAAUAAUGCGGGGAGCGGGCGCGCGGCGCGGCGCGGGACAGCCAGGGCUGGUGCGGAUCAGCCUCGCGGCUGGAAAGGGACUGCUCGGGAUCAUCACGGGCAGGAUUAAGGCCACAAAACCAAGGGACAAUCGUAGAAAUCACACAGAAGCACAAUGCACAAGGUAUAAGCCAAGAAAAGGCCCGGAGAGAAGGAGGGGUCAAGGAGGGAAAUAAGGACAUGGGCAGUGGCCGUGCGCGUUUGGCAGCAGCAGCGAGGAAAUCUCGGGAGAUACGGCGAGAGGCUGGGAAGAGACAAGUUCUGGCAACACAAUACAAGGCUGUAUUUAAAGAAAUAAACCAAAUUCCCAUUCUGCUUACAUCCCCCCAGGAUCUGGAUUAAUUUAUGGAGAUUUGCGGAGGUGUGGUGUAACUGCCACCUGACCCAUUUAGAGCUUAUCAAAGGGUAUUGGAAAAGUGAUAAAUGAGCAUCAGAUGUUGAAGUGAUGGAGGAUGUGGAGAGCAGAUAUAAAUUCUCAAGAAAAGCUGGCCAUGCUGCUCUUUCAGAGUUUAUCAAGAAAGACCACAGAAAGGCAGUGGAAUCUCCCAGGGCAUCCGACCUGCCGCAGAGCAAGGGAUUGAUGGUUGUGAAUAACCCAGUUAAUAAUCUGAAUUUGAGCAAUCACAGAUGGACUGAUGCUCAUUAGGGAAGGAGAACAGAAGCAAUUCGGAGAGAACAUUUUCACACGAGGAGUAGCUGAAAUGAGCCUGUGGAACGAAGUGCCAAAGGCAGGGAGGCCCUGGGAUGUGUAAAUCCAUGCUGGGGAGUGUCAGGCACCGCUCGGGGAUGGGGUGAGAAGGAAGGGGCACCACCAGGGACACUUGUGCAGUUGAGCUGUUUCAUGGGUGCACAGAGACUCUCUGAAGGCCAAAGCACACCAUAUGUUACACUUCUGGACUUCAACGUUCCCACAUACAAUUUUCUCUCGCUGCUGCUAGGCAGAGAGCAGCCAAAUUUAAAUUACUAUUAUUAAAUACAAUUAGCAUUACAGCACUGAUUCUGUACUGUACUUUGAAAAAUUCAUUUGCCCCUUUUAUGAAAAGCAAAGCACUUAAAAUGCUUCCAUUUCUGGGAAAUAACAGGAUGGAUUUGUUUUCUUAUUACAGUUUUUCCACAUUUUAAUAAAGAGCAUUUGUACUUUUAUUCUCUCUAAGUAUUAUAGAAGGUAUGGUUUAUUUGCUCCUUACCAGUUAUAGAGUGAUGGAAAUAUAAACCAGAUUUGAAACAACAUCUUGCAAGGAGAUCAGAGACUUUCCAAAGGAAGCAGUUUGUAAAUCACAGGUAUUUUACACCUUUUUUUGCCCUCGAAUUCAAAACCAGAAUUCCAAACAAUCCCACUAGGCAGAAAUAUGGUUUUAUGUUUUAGUUGUUAAAAAAAAUAAAUCAACCUGUCAGUUUAAAGUUUUACUGAAAAUGAGCACUGCAACUAUUUUAUAUCUUAUAAUAAAAUUUAGAAAAGGCACCGUGACAACUUUAACUGGAAUAAAAAAAUAAUUAGGCAUGCCAACACCCAGGUGCAUAAGGAAAUAAGGAAAUAUGGCAGGGAAAAGACAUCAAAAAUAGCAAAAUAUAAAUGAAGUCCAGAGAGAGAAGAAACAGAGCACUGAAAUGACAUGGACUUAUGUGGAAGUUCACUGAAAAUUUUUCAAAUCAAAGUAAAAUUGUUUUAGGAGCCAACAAGGCUGAGCUGCAAUCAGCUCACAUUAGAAACAUUGAACUACAUUAUAAAACUCUUGCUGAACAUUUUUAUUUGACUCUAAAAACUUCAGGGACCCUGAAAGAAGUCAACUUAUAAUUACACUCGCGUUGUCUUGACACGAGCUUAGCUCCAAAUCUUAAUUUAUCUAAACCAGGCCCCAUUAUGUCUUCUCUGAGCAGAAAGAAACAACAGUGACCUCUGUAUUCCCCACCACCCCCAUAAACAUAUGUUCACUUUUAAGUUUUGGCAUCCUAUUUGUCUUGAUAAUACCACUGGCGCUGCAGUGAGAUAACAGAACUGAGACACCAGGAAUCCUCCCUGCUCAGCACAGCCUUCAUCUCCCUCUUCAUCCCUAAAACAGCAGCGGAGCUAUGUGGAGGAGCUGCAGCCAGACUGGGCUGAGACCAGCCCUCCCUUUAUCCACCUUGUUUUUCCAGGUCAAGUGCUCUCCUGAGUUGAUGCUCAGGGUAGCAAGUGGGCAUUAAGUGUCUCCCCUUCCCCUCCAAAAUCGUCUCCUUCCAACCUGCCAUGAAGAUCUCCGUGGUCUGAUCCCACUCUCCCUUUGCUGUCUGACACUGCUGGCUUGCUCCCCCAAAAACAUGGACAGCCUAGUUCAGGAGUACUUGGUCCCAGUCUCAUACCCACUGCACCCGGCUGAAAUCAAAAUAUCAUCAAUGAACUCCACGGAUUUAUCUCCACAUUUAUGUAAGCACCACAAGUGUGGCACUUAGGCCAGGGAAGGUGCUGGACACAGGUUUAUCUGAACGUUGCCUCUUUCAGCUAUGUCCAGCCAACUUCAGAAGGACAGAAGCAAAGCCUCUGGCUUUAGUUUGGGAUCUGUCAGUUUUUAUGCAGUAGGAGAUUUCAGUAUUAGUUCAAGUCUGAUGUUUAGUGCCCCACAAUCUCCUGAGCACGGGUCUGCAGGGCUGGGAUGCUCUGGGCCGUGUGAACAUGGUAUCACCUCAUGGGCUGCAGCCAGACUCAAGGAUGCACACCUGAAUUUAAAGAUGCAGCAGGAUGAUUGAAGCUCUCUGCAAGGAAGCUGGACUGGAAGCCAGAUGCCAGCACAUCCUGCACUGACACUUGAAUUCUCUGAACUGAGGGGUAUCAGCACUUUAACACAUCUCUGAGCACGAGACUGGCACAUGUGCUGCUCCUCUUGGAUCCACCUGGAUCAUUCAGCACAGCUGGAAGGUUGGGAUGCUGCACUCAGCAUCCCAAAGACAGCUCCUCUGUGAGGGUUCCCAGUGCUGUGUCUGUCUGGCAUCACCAAAGCUCCGGUGAUUUACUCUCAGUGCCACAAACACAAGUGUUCACACAACUGUGCUACAUAUGAACUUUGCAGUCCCAGCUCUUCCACUUGUCCUCAUAGUUCUCCACUUUAGUUCCUACUCUCGUUAACCACUUUAACAUGUCUUUCACUGUCUUGCACACAAUCUGGAACUAAUUUAUCAAGUAAAGAUAAAUUGUUUAAAAGGGAAGUUAUUUUUCUGUUCUGAUUUUUAAUAAAUGGAUCCCUUAAGGAGACAACCAUCCCUUUUCCCUUACACAUCUUCUGUCUUAUUGUUUUGCAUCACGAAGCUUUUCCAUUUGUCUUCAAUUACUACGAGUUACCAAAACACCAUUAAGAACUGGAAGAACCAUAUGAAACAAAGGGAAAAGCAUGAGAACAACUCAUUAAAGCACCACUCUUUUAAGCCAUGCUGUAUUCUUGAAUAACUGCCUUGGAAUCAAAUGGUGUCUAUAGCAGGAAUAUUAAUGUAUCAGUCUUGCUUUGAAGCCUUUAAAUACAGUUGGCUUGAUUUCUUUUUCUUAAUACCAAGAGAUACCUACAGUAAUAAAUAAAUUAAUAAAAAUAACACUGCAAUUUACAAAGUAAUGAAAACUUAUUCACCAUCCCUGUUAAUUUAUUUUGCCACUGACAAAAGAAAAAAGUAAAAAAUUCUUAUUUUUAGCUUUGUUGCAAUUAAAACAGUUUUGAAGCAAAAUUAUAAAGAAAUUAUUUCUGUGCAGUUGCUUAAGGCAUAUGGCCUGGAUUUUAGCUGGGCUAUAAAUUCUUUAACAGAAUUAAGGACUUCACAGUAGAUCCAAUACCAAUCUGUUUAACAAAGCUGCUUGGGUUGGGACAUAGGUACCAGGAAAGAGCCUGGGAAGGGCAUGCCUGCCUCUCCAACGUGUUGGUUUAACCUCAAGUUAAGCAGAGAGCUUUAGGAAGGACUCAAACACCUCAACUUUUCAAUUCUGCUCCCUCCACUGUGAAACAGCUGCAACCUUGAACCCUUAAAACCUCCCCUUCCUUUCAUGCCCAGAUAAAUCCUGAUUUUCCCAGACAAACAACGCUGCCAUCCCCUGAGGAAUGUUCUCACAGGACAGCUUCUUGCUGCUUUUCCAAUCUUUGAUCUUCCUUCCCAGUCAAACAGCCCAGCCCAACAUGUGCCUGCAGAUAUUGACAGCGGAGCCACAGCUCUGAUUAAAUCCCGCUUGCCACCCUGCCUUUGGAUCAGCGGCUGUGCUGUCCCUGCUGGACCUCUCCUGGAGCCUUGGGUAACCCUCCUCACCUCCCUCCUCACCUCCCUCUGCAUUUCCCAGCUCCUGCUCUCACCCAGCUCCCAGCCCAUCCGUGGGGCAGGCAGGAGCAGCCCUGCUCCCUCCUCCUGCUGCAGUGUGAUUCAGCUCAGUGGCUCGGUGAAGAACUAAGGAAGGAGAGGAAGAAUUUAUUUUCCAUUGUGCUGGCAAACUGAACUGACUCAUGCUGUGCACUCGCUGGGGUCAGCACGAGGGAGGAGGUGGGGACCCAGAGCUGGGGCAAGGACACCCCAUGGCAUGGGUCCCUCACCCGCAUGGAUCAGCAGGAACAGCACAAAACCAGUGACAAGGAAUGGAUGGCCCAAGGGGGCUCAGAGUGCCAAAUGUUACCAAAAAUCUCUUUUAUUGAUCAGUCUUUACAGUAUGAAAGUGGAUUAACUUUGUUCAUGUCUAUAUAAGUUCAUUUUAUACACUCUGAUGUAAUGACAUGAUACAGUUUUCCUGGAGGCUUUGGUGUUUUUCAUGCUCAAGUAAAACAAAUCAAAGGACAGCCAGGUCCUGGAAAUAAGGACUUUGCUCAUGGAAGGAUAAAGGAUACUCCUGAACACCAAACUAAUGCCAACAUCCCAGCCCCUCUGACACUUCAUUCAAACCCUCACAUUGUUUUCUGGCGUCACAAACCAGUAACUCUAGCAACCAGGGAUGCCUGGAUCCUGUUUCUGUGGAAAUAGGGUUGAUUUGCCAUGUUUUACUCCAAUUAGUAAGUGUGGGUGCUCGUGAUUAGUCAAAUUGUGUUGUACCUGAAUUUUAAGGGGUGUAAAAACCUUGUGUGAAAACAGAUAUGGGGUGCUCCAUUUGGCUGCACAAUGAAUAAUUAUUUACCUUUGUAAUUCUACAUUUUGCAUCUCAGCUUCUCUCCUUAAGUCAGCACAGGGCAGUAGUAAAUUUUCUUAAUGCCAAAAAGGUAAAACAAAGAGGUGACCUCUGAACAGGGGGCACAUCCUUCCCCCAAAACUGAAGGAACACCUUUCUAGGAGAUGUCAGAGCUUGCCAGUUCUGAUCCUCGAGGUUCUGUGAGAGCACAAGGAUGGAGAACAACUCUGGCCAUGCCAGCCCAGCCAUGUUUGGGAAAUGGGGCAGGGAGGAAGGGGAGAAAGGCAGGACAGAGCAGCCUGGGCUACCCCACAAUCACCCCCAGCUUCCCAGCAUAGGAGCUCUGUAAGGUGCCCUCACCUGCCCGUGCACCUCUCCUCCAGGCUCUGAGCAGUGACCUGGAACCCACAAUCACUUCUCUCCCUCAUGGAUGAUCCAAACUUCUGUUUAGGUAUUUUACAAAAAAUGAGGUCAGGGGAAUCUGUGCAAGAAGGAGUUUAUGAACCACCUUUGUUCAAUAAAUACCAAGAUGCACCCUCUUCCUGGUGUUUUGUACUGAGCUCACCCUCUUGCUUCCCUUUUCUGACAAAGCAAGACCAGAAGACAUCAGCUUGUAUAGAGCCUCACAGUAACUCUGUAAUGAACAGAGGUAAUUCUGUAAUAAAUACAGAGAUAAUUCUGUAUUUGGAGAAACAGGGACUCGGCAGAAUACCUCGCCCAGCCCAGCCCUCCCAUCCCCAU